ACUACCCUUUCCGGCUGGGUGAGAACAAAAGAGCAGCUGCUAACCCUCCCCAGGGUGAAGUGCUUGCUGUCACUCUCUUGGGACGCCGUGGGGGUCGGGUGGGGAACUGCCCACCGCACAGGCACCAGGCGGCGCGGGAACGUGGUCUCGCAGACAAGUAGCUCCCGCCCACCCGCUUCGCUGGGUCCCCUCUGGAGACGCUCGCCCGCAGCGACAGGCAAGGAGGGGAGGACCUGACGCAGCAGCCUGCAACCGAGCUUGUUGCGCGACACACAAAGGCGCUGGAAGCUGGUCCGCGAGAGGGCGGAGGCGGACGGCGCGGGACCCGCGGCAGAGGCAGACAAGACCUCCUUGGUAACCUCUUGCUGUUGGAAGACCACCACCGUAAUCCUGCGAUGAGUGAAGGAGCAUGAGUGAGAAGACAGAGGUGUUGUUCAGGUUCCACAUGACAGAAACAUUUCAGGAGAGAUUCUUCCUCCGUGUCAUCUUUUAUUCCUACGUCUGCAUCUUCCCUGCCUUUCUCCACCCUGCCCUCCGCACUGGGCGGCUGAUCUUCACAGAUGGCACCAUUGGGUUUUCUGGCUCUUUGGUGAGAUGUGGCCAGUGAGAGGCCCUGCAUAAGGCUGGAGGCCAGUAUCCCCGCCCAUUCAACCUUCACCCCAGUGAACUGGUCACUGAUGUCUGCUUCACCAAGCCUGUGGUGCACAGCUGCGUCUACCUCCGUGACAGUGACUAAAGCAUCGGUCUGAUCCCAAGCAGAGGGCAGCUCUUCACUGAAAAACCUGCUCGUUCCCAGGUGUGCAGCUAGACCACGUUCCCGGCCCCGUGCAGCUUCUCCGAGUGGCGUGUGUCAGAUCCACAGCCCACUGUGGGUGCCGCUACGGCUGCUGUGCAGCGCGGUGCUUACGUUGUGCGGGGCCCGGCUUCUUUGCUCCGUGGCACAGGAACUGAUUUUUAAGAAUCUUUGAACUCCCUGCAGCUCCCAGAAGUGAUUUCGUGGGGCACCAUGAAUGAUGAUUAAAAGGUACAGCAAGCCCUGGCAGCAGACCCUGAAGACUGGCCAAAGGACAGUUCUCUAUUCCUGGCCCCGGGAACUCACUCAAGACCCUUUGGUUAAGCUGCUUAACGAGCUGUCUGGAUGAACUGUUGGGAGAAGCUCCGGGCUUAGCAGCUGGCUCCACCGGGUUGUACAGUGACUGCAGCUUUCCGCACUCAGGGCUUAGGAGUCCUUGGGAAGACGGGGCCUGGGGUGUGACCCUGGCCACAGCACGCGGGGCUGGCUGGGAGAGUUCAUCAUGUCCUCAUCCACUGAAAAACACCAAACCCAGAGCAAACUUGGAGCUGUUGGCUUAAGCCUGCUUGCCUCUGGCCUCUGACCAUCUGGUAUAUCUGGGCAGCGUGCAUGCCGAUUUGAACACGGAUAUAUGUAAGAGAGGAAGAAGGUGGGUAAGUGGAGCACAAUGCUGUCCACAUUGUCUUUGUGAUUUCGAAGGUAAAUAUGAUGCCAUGCCAUUAAAGGGUCUUCCCCGGAAACCUCGUAGCCUGAGAAGUUUGCCCACACUCCUCAGCCCAGCGUGAUGGUGAGAGACCAGACUCUGCCUCACACUGACUCUUCGAGCAGGCUGCUUCUCCCUGACUCUGGGCCAUAUUUUGGUAAACAGUGAAUUAGUUUUCUCCUCCGACUCCUUCUCCUCAUCUUCCAUUUAUUUUAAUAAAUAGCUUUUUCUUAGUAUCC